CCCGUCCGCGCCAGCUUGGCCCCCGGCGAUCGUGUCCUGAUUCAUCGUGAACGCGGCAAACGGCUCCGGGGCAGAGGCUGGAGAGAGCCGCCGGGUGGGUAGGAGCAGGGCUGGGAAGAGCGGAGAGGACGGUGUAGCCCUGCGGCCCCUAGUGGGGUGUCACCGUGGGCUGCCCCCGCCCCAAGCGCCGACUCCGCAGCUCCCAUUGGCUGGGAACUGUAGCCAAUGGGAGCUGCAGGGGUGACACCUGUGGACAGAGACCCCCGCCCUCGCCCCUAGGAGCUGCUGCCAGAGUGGUGGUGGUGGGGGGUGUCGGUCGCUUUGGGAGCCGUGCAACAUGAGAUCCACUUGGGGAGCUCCGUAGAGCUGGAAAAUAGACCUUGCGACAUCUGGGCAAAAGGAACACUUGUGGUGAUGAAUAAAAAACCUGCUCAGGGGAUCUGCCAGCAUAUUUGGACUCCCAGGAGGUGGGCUGCUUUCAGAAGUAUAGAGUUGCUGAUACAGAAGUCCCAGAGCAGGAUUGCUUUUCGGCGGAGUAGUGAGGACCAGGCUCCCCAUUGCUUGUUUACAUAGAACAUGGUGAUUGUACUGUUGGUCUGCAUCAAUCCACCCCUUUCGCUGACGCAAGGAGGGAACAACAUGCAAGCUAAAGGAAUAAACAGCAGGGAGCAGGGGGCUAUGCAUAGACUGAGAUCUUGGGGAGACCAGAGACCCUGUGUCAACAGGUGUCCCAUGUGAGCCCCAGCACCCCAGCUACAAGGCAUCCAUUUAUGACGAAGUGGGACGGUUCUUAAUGUUUCCUCUGAAUACUGUAGGGUGCCUCAGUUUCUCCUAUGCAUUUCUUAAGUCUCUAGGUGGUGGGAUAAGAGCGUGUAAUUGUUGCAGUGCAAAGAGCCAGUGUACAUAAAUGGCUGACACUCUGUCUCCUGGCAACUGAUGGCCUGGGCCCUUCCCCCCUGCAAGGUGAUAGCUAAAGGGUUGGAGAAGAAAGGAAUCAGGUGACCUCCUGGCCCAGGAAAGAGACAAAGCCCAGAGGAGGAGGGGCUGGAGGGGGAGUCAGUUUGGGCUGGCUGGGGACGUGGAGUGAAGUGCAGACGUGGUUGUCUGGCUCACUGCCCCCAAAAUGGACCCAGCUGAGGGGUCCUGUUCUUUGUACCUACAAGCUCUGUUUUAGACAGUGUUCCUGUCAUCUAAUAAACCUCUGUUUUACUGGCUG